rnacentral:rRNA from 1 species
GAUGAACGCUGGCGGCGUGCCUAAUACAUGCAAGUCGAGCGAACGGACAAGAAGCUUGCUUCUCUGAUGUUAGCGGCGGACGGGUGAGUAACACGUGGAUAACCUACCUAUAAGACUGGGAUAACUUCGGGAAACCGGAGCUAAUACCGGAUAAUAUUUUGAACCGCAUGGUUCAAAAGUGAAAGACGGUCUUGCUGUCACUUAUAGAUGGAUCCGCGCUGCAUUAGCUAGUUGGUAAGGUAACGGCUUACCAAGGCAACGAUGCAUAGCCGACCUGAGAGGGUGAUCGGCCACACUGGAACUGAGACACGGUCCAGACUCCUACGGGAGGCAGCAGUAGGGAAUCUUCCGCAAUGGGCGAAAGCCUGACGGAGCAACGCCGCGUGAGUGAUGAAGGUCUUCGGAUCGUAAAACUCUGUUAUUAGGGAAGAACAUAUGUGUAAGUACCUGUGCACAUCUUGACGGUACCUAAUCAGAAAGCCACGGCUAACUACGUG